rnacentral:rRNA from 1 species
GACGAACGCUGGCGGCGUGCCUAAUACAUGCAAGUCGAGCGGACCACUUCGGUGGUCAGCGGCGGACGGGUGAGUAACACGUGGGCAACCUGCCUGUAAGACUGGGAUAACACCGGGAAACCGGUGCUAAUACCGGAUAAUCCUUUCCUUCACAUGAAGGGAAGCUGAACGACGGUUUCGGCUGUCACUUACAGAUGGUCCCGCGGCGCAUUAGCUAGUUGGUGAGGUACCGGCUCACCAAGGCAACGAUGCGUAGCCGACCUGAGAGGGGGAUCGGCCACACUGGGACUGAGACACGGCCCAGACGCCUACGGGAGGCAGCAGUAGGGAAUCUUCCGCAAUGGACGAAAGUCUGACGGAGCAACGCCGCGUGAGCGAUGAAGGCCUUCGGGUCGUAAAGCUCUGUUGUCAGGGAAGAACAAGUACCGGAGUAACUGCCGGCACCUUGACGGUACCUGACCAGAAAGCCACGGCUAACUACGUGCCAGCAGCCGCCGUAACAC